rnacentral:pre_miRNA from 1 species
UAUAAGUCCAACCAUGAGUUUUCGUGCCUAAUUUUGAUCGUUCGUCUUUUUUAAAAAAAUUAUAAUUGGUAUUUUUAUUGUUAUGAGAUGAUAAAAUAUGAGUAGUACUUUAUGUGACUUAUGUUUUUAAUUUUUUUUAAAUAAGACCGAAAAUUAUGGCUGCACUUAAA